AGCAGCCCAGGCACCCAGUGAAGAGAAUAACCGUCCCGUCAGGGCGCGGAGAACAGCAAGAAAAGAUCCUCUGCAUUUCCUCAUUGACUCCCACAACCACCAGGUCAAGGAAGUGCCUGCGGUAGCUCCAUUUUCAGGUGGAGACAAUGAGGCUUAACAAGAUGAAGGUAGAGCCGUGAAAACCCAGAUGCCCGGGCCGCAGUCCCCAGAUCAGCUCUGCUGAAUCCAGGGGUGAGUUGCCUCUGGGCACUGGGACUCUCGCAGCAUCUGAGAAGAGUCAAGCUUGAACCAAGGAAAAGCCUGUUGUCUGGGAGGAUUCUACUUGUCUAGAAAGUGAGGGAUGCUGCUGCGGGCAGGCAGAGGACACCCCCCAGGCACGGAGACAUUUAGAUGCCCUCUCUACAGAGGGGAGCCAACCUCAGUGACCACCUGAACAGAGAAGAGGGAGGGAGGGGAGGUGUCUGAGGGGGACCACCCCAGCCACGCCCUCCUGUGUUGGUGGGAGCUGGAGAGAAGAGGGGAUAGUCCAUUUCUUCACAGUGAUGCAAAAAGCUUAACUUCUGAGAACAGCCUCCAAGGAACAAAACAACCCAAGGAAGAGCUGUGUUUAGAGAAAUAAGGAGGUGGUUCACACAAGCCCAGCCCUGCCUUGAGGAAUGAUCCCCUUUCAACAACAUGUAAAACAGCGACUACGUGGAGGCUCUGGAGAGAGACCAGAGACGCAGAAACUGGAGGUAGCCAGGCUCCUAGAAGAGGACGGACGGGCCGAGGAUGAACAGACAGGACCUGGGACCUGGGUACUAAGCUUGUGGGUGUUUCUGGCAUGGUUCUUUCAACUUUUCCGUAUGUUCAAGAUUUGUUUAUAAUACAGUGUUGGGAGGAAAAUCAUUAAGUGAUUUUGACUCCAGCAGUGCUGUCUUACCCCAACAUCAAUGUUGUGCAUCUACUUGUAGCCCAGUGUCUAACACGAGUAUGAGCCAACACACCUAAUGUUUGUUAGAUUUCACAUCGGAAUAGAAUAAUCCAUCAUUUGUAUUUCUGGAUCUAUUUUCAGUGACUCAAGUCACUCAGGUUGAUCAGAAGUGGUUCCUUAUGUUUCAGUAUUCCAAGUCCUCCCCCAAGAACUGGUUGGAAAUUUUCCUUUGAGAGGUUUUAAUUUCUUAUCCCUAUUUGUUCAACUAAUCAUUGUAGAUGAGCAAUAGGGGAGGGAAAUGCUGCCAAAUACAACAGAUUGGAGUGUUUUUCACUUUUUGCAAGUAUAGUCUAAUACUAAUAAUAUUGAUAGUGGAGUUACCAAGCUCUUUCUUGAGUUGUUUACGUAUGUGGAUUUUUCUGUGCUUUUUGGGGGAAGAAGAGGGGAGAUAAAAAGAAAGACUUGAGGCUGUUUAUUUUGUCUUCCCACAUCAAAAUCAUCCUCUUGAGGUAAAAAUGUAUGCUUCUUUUAAAAUUAGAAUAUAUUUCAAUUAAAUUUGGUGGAUCUUUCAUUUAA